UCAAUCGGGUUCCACUUCGUCUUCACCAUCUAGGUUCUUCGUGAUGUCCGUUACGGUGAACUCAAUCAAUGGUGCUCUUUGAUUCCUUCUUAAUAGUUUCGUUCCACCUCCCUCUUUUUAUCCUCAUAGAUAUAUAUAUAUAUCGAUUGCUCAACAUCUUCGUCUAAACUUACUUGCAAGCAAACCCGAAAACCUCCAGUGAAGAAUCGAAAGCUCUGGCAAUAAAAUCCAAUCGAAAGUCUCAUGUCUCCACCGGCAAGUCUCUGUCGCUUUGUAUUUCAAGGAUAUCUCACCAUGUCCACCAGAAUACGAAUUAGGAUUUCGAAUCUAAAGUUGAAGUGCGGUAGCGAUUGCUGUAAGGUGUGAAGAUAAGAUGGCUCUCUGAAUGAAAACAUGAAGAAGUGUCAAUAUGCCGUAAGUGGUAAGCUCCAGAAAGAAGGCAAAAAGGUAUACACUUUUGGAUCAUCUUGUGCCUUUACAUGUUGGCUUUACUCAAGAAAAAG